rnacentral:lncRNA from 1 species
ACGGGGAUGUGUGGGACCUGAGGAUAUGUGGAUGUUGGGAUUUGGGGACGUGGGACAUGGGAAUGUGGGGGAUGUGGGGAUACGGUGUUGGGGGGGACAUGGAGGACACGGGGACAUGGAGGAUGUGGGGGAUGCGGUGAUGGGGGACAUGAGGACGUCAGGAUAGGGGACGCAGGAGACACAGGGACGUGGGGAUGGGGGACAUGGGGCUGUGGGUGCCACAGGGACAUGGGGAUGGCAGACAUGGGGACCACAGGGACAUGAGAAUGUGGGGGACAUUGGGACAUGGAGAUAUGGGAGGCUGCGGUGAUGGGGGACAUGGGACAUGGCUGCCAUGGGGACACGGCUACCACGGGGCCACCUCCUGACCCCACCCUCAUCCCUCAGGAGGUCCCUACGGGGCAGUGGGUGUGGACCUGGCCUUCGAGAAGCUUCUGUGCCACAUCUUCGGGGACGAUUUCAUUGCCACCUUCAAGGCCAAGCGUCCGGCGGCCUGGGUGGACCUGACCAUCGCCUUCGAGGCGCGGAAGCGCGCGGCCGCCCCGAGCCGCUCCAGCCCCCUCAAUAUCUCCCUGCCCUUCUCCUUCAUCGACUUCUACCGCAAACACCGUGGCCAAAACGUCGAGACCGCGCUCCGCAAGAGCAAUGUCAACCUGGUGAAGUGGUCAUCCCAAGGGAUGCUGCGGAUGUCGCCCGAGGCCAUGAGCGAGCUGUUCCAGCCAACCAUCACCCACAUCAUCCAGCACAUCGGUGGGGCCUGGGGACGUGCCCAUCCAUGGGGAACCCCUGUCCUAACCCACCCCCGGUCCUUGGGAUCCCUCCCCAUCCCUGGAACCUUCCCCGUUACUGGAAACCCCCAUUCCUGGGAUCGUUCCCAUCCCUGGAAUCCUUCCCUGUCCCUAUGAGCCCCCCUGUGCCACCCUGGCUGGGAGAAUCCCACACCCUGGGACCCCCUUUGUCCCUGGGACUACCCCUGACCCUGGAACCCCCAUUCCAUCCCUGGGACCCACUUUGUCCCAGCGAUCCGCCAUUCCUGGAGCCCUCCUUGUCCUUGGGAUCCCCCUUGUCCCUGGGAACCUAUUAUCCCUGGAUCCCCCAUUGUCCCUGGAACCCCCAUUGUCCCUGGAACUGUCCCCGGGGCCCCGUUCCAUCCCUGGAACCCACCUUGUCCCUGGGAACCCCCAUUCCUGGAGCCCUCCUUGUUCCUGGGAUCCCCCUUGUCCCUGGGAACCUUUUGUCCCUGGAACCCCCAUUCCAUUCCUGGGACCCACCUUGUCCCUGGAACCCUCCCUGUCCCUGGAACUCAAUCCCCGGAACCCACCUUGUCCCUGCGAUUUCCCAUUCCUGGAACCUUCCUUGUUCUUGGGAUGCCCCUUGUCCCUGGGAACUUUUUAUCCCUGGAACCCCCAUUGUCCCUGGAACCCCCAUUGUCCCUGGGACCCUUUUAUCCCUGGAACCCUCGUCCCUGGAAC